UUGGCAAAAGUAGAAUUCGGAUUUGGAUCGGGGGGAAAAUCAAAAUGGUCGAUUAGUCGUCUCGUUCCGAUUAUCGUCUUCCGAGGCUUAUCCUUUAGUUCGAGUUGGAAGAGCCGGAGAUAUCAUCACACUAUCGAGUCAUUAUGUGAGUUGAGAAGAUGGUAUAUCAUCAUGAUUUAAGGCAUGUAUAGGAUAGACUAUAGGUAGAAUGAUAUUUUGUCUUUGUAUACAUUAUAGCCAUGCGAAGAUGGCUCGCUUAUUUUGUUUAGAGAAGCCUUAUAAUUGAACUAAUGUGUUGAAAUGUUUUAGUUAUAACUUGAUAGUAGUUAAUUUGUUAUUAGAUAUUCGGUUAUGUUUUGAUAGUUAGUCAUUUUGGAAAUUUAUAAGAGCUCUUAUGAAAAAUCAAUGAGACAGGUUGCAUUGUUGAUAAUUUAUGUCUGGUAAAUAUCUUUGACCUUAUAGAA